rnacentral:rRNA from 1 species
GGCGUUAACGAAGACCUUAACCUGCUAAAUAGCCAGGCUAGCUUUGGCUGGUCGCCGGCUUCUUAGAGGGACUAUCGGCUCAAGCCGAUGGAAGUUUGAGGCAAUAACAGGUCUGCGAUGCCCUUAGAUGUUCUGGGCCGCACGCGCGCUACACUGACAGAGCCAACGAGUUCAUCACCUUGGCCGAAAGGCUUGGGUAAUCUUGUUAAACUCUGUCGUGCUGGGGAUAGAGCAUUGCAAUUAUUGCUCUUCAACGAGGAAUGCCUAGUAAGCGCGUGUCAUCAGCACGCGUUGAUUACGUCCCUGCCCUUUGUACACACCGCCCGUCGCUAAUACCGAUUGAAUGGCUG